AUGGAGAUGGAAGAUUCUCUAAUGCCAGGCCGUCUGGUAACACUUGGUUGCAAGAAUCUUGAAAAGGGGGAGACCUAUUGUUUGAGCUUGGUUUUCCUUGUUACCCUUUUAAAAGGUGUCCAGUGUGAGGUGCAGCUGGUGGAGUUUGGGGGAGGCUUGGCACAGCCUGGAAAUUUCCUAAAACUCUCUUGUGCAGCCUCUGGAUUUACUUUCAGUAGCUAUUUCAUGAAUUGGUUCCACCAGUCUCCAGGGAAGGGGCUGGAGUGGGUUGCUGAAACUAGAAACAAAGCUAAUAAUUGUGCAACAUACUAUGCGGAGUCUGUGAAAGGCAGAUUCACCGUCUCAAGAGAUGAUUCCAAAAGCAGCGUCUACCUGCAAAUGAGCAGGUUAAGAGCCAAAGACAUCGCCAUUUAUUACUGUGCAAGACACAGUGAACGAUCUUCAGUGUGA